UGAUGGCCUGGCUAGCUGUCUAAAUCGCCGUGACCCCCAACCAACCUCUCCACUCACUGGACCCUUUUGAUCACUCGACUAAGCAUGCCUCUCCUUAAUGUCAAUAUACCUUGUCCAUUGCUGUUCUGGUUAGUGUUUAUUGGCUUAUUUCACUGUAGAGCCUCUAGUCCUGCUCACUAUACCUUAUCCAACCUAUUAGUUCCACCACCCACACAUGCAAUGACAUCUCCUGGUUUCAAUGAUGUUUCUAGAGACAAUAUCUCUCUCUUCAUCACUCAAUACCUAGGUUUACCUCCACUGUAUUCACAUCCUACCAUACCUUUGUCUGUACAUUAUACCCUGAUGCUAUUUUAUCGUCCCCCAGAAACCUCCUUUUACUCUCUGUUCCAGACGUUCUAGACGACCAAUUCUUAUUGCUUUUAGCCGCACCCUUAUUCUACUCUUCCUAUGUUCCUCUGGCGAUGUAGAGGUGAAUCCAGGCCCUGCAGUGCCUAGCUCCACUCCUAUUCCCCAGGCGCUCUCUUUUGACGACUUCUGUAACCGUAAUAGCCUUGGUUUCAUGCAUGUUAACAUUAGAAGCCUCCUCCCUAAGUUUGUUCUAUGGGCCUAUUUUUUAAUUUUUAUUUAUACCAGGGAGCAUGUUUCUUGUGACAAAUGGGGGGGGGGGGGGGGGUUACAUAGGAGGGGCAAGACUGCUGCAGUGUUGGCAGCCUGGGUAGAUGAGAGGCUGGAGGUAGUUAGUAGCAGGCUGGUAGAUGUGAGCUGGAGGUUGCUAGCAGGCUGGGUAGAUGUGAGCUGGAGGGGGGGUGGUAGGAGGGGCUUGAUACCAGGCAGCAUGGCACCCAGCGGGCAUGAUUCCAGAACAGCUGGUACCAGGGGACCAUAAUUACAGGAAAGCAUGAUAUCGGGGGCCUGGUACCAGGGGGAUAACCCCUCCCUGGAGGGAAGGGCAAUGGUGUAGCGGGCUGCUGUGGUUAUGCCAUCUACGGAGCGUUACUGUCGGUGGCGGGAGUAUGGUUGCCAUCCUAGAUGACCAUGAGGUAGGCAUGAGCAAACAGCCUUUGGUAUACGAGGCCAGGCGUAUGAGCUAGGAGCUCAAUGGGCCGUCUAUAGACUCAUCCCCAUGCCUAACCCUCAUCGAUCUCUCUAUGUCCCAGUCUCUAGUAAUAGUGUGCCAGUUGCGGUCUCUGGGUCUUUGUCCCGGUCUUUAUCUCUGUUCCUUUCUGAUCUGUGUUUCUCUGCACUACCGGUUUUACUGUCCUUGUCUCUCUCUGGUACUGGA
rnacentral:lncRNA from 1 species